AUUGAACGCUGGCGGCAGGCUUAACACAUGCAAGUCGAGCGGGGUGAUGGUGCUUGCACUAUCACUUAGCGGCGGACGGGUGAGUAAUGCUUAGGAAUCUGCCUAUUAGUGGGGGACAACAUCUCGAAAGGGAUGCUAAUACCGCAUACGUCCUACGGGAGAAAGCAGGGGAUCACUUGUGACCUUGCGCUAAUAGAUGAGCCUAAGUCGGAUUAGCUAGUUGGUGGGGUAAAGGCCUACCAAGGCGACGAUCUGUAGCGGGUCUGAGAGGAUGACCCGCCACAUGGGGACAGGGAACCGGCCCAGAUGCCUACGGGAGGCAGCAGUCGGGAAUAUUGGACAAUGGGGGGAACCCUGAUCCAGCCAUGCCGCGUGUGUGAAGAAGGCCUUAUGGUUGUAAAGCACUUUAAGCGAGGAGGAGGCUCUUUUGGUUAAUACCCAAGAUGAGUGGACGUUACUCGCAGGAUAAGCACCGGCUAACUCUGUGCCAGCCGCCGCAGUAA
rnacentral:rRNA from 1 species